AAAUACUUAAGUAGUAGUAGUUAUGUUCUUGAAACUUAAAAAAUUUGGCGGUAUUUUAGUCUAUCCAGAGGAACCUGUUUUGUAAUCGAUAAUCCACGAUGGACCUUACUUAAGUUUGUAGUCAGUUUAUAUACCGUCGUUAUCAGAAUAUUUUAUAAGAAUAAAAAUAUUCAAUAAUUUAUAUUAAAAUUUAUAUCAGAUCAAGGUGUAGCUUAUAUUUAAGUAAUAAUGGGUUACAAUAAAAAUAUUUAAACGAAUAAAAUAAUGAAAAAAUUUUUGAAGGUGGAUUUGGUAGUAAAAUUAUAAAGAUUAAUAAUUUGAUUUUAGCUCUAAAAUAUGUACACAUCGCCCGUCGCUCUUAUUAUUAAGGUAAGAUAAGUCGUAACAUAGUAGAUGUACUGGAAAGUGUAUCUAGAAUGA
rnacentral:rRNA from 1 species